AGAGUUUGAUCCUGGCUCAGAUUGAACGCUGGCGGAAUGCUUUACACAUGCAAGUCGAACGGCAGCACGGACUUCGGUCUGGUGGCGAGUGGCGAACGGGUGAGUAAUACAUCGGAACGUGCCCAAUCGUGGGGGAUAACGUAGCGAAAGCUACGCUAAUACCGCAUACGAUCUAAGGAUGAAAGCGGGGGAUCGCAAGACCUCGCGCGACUGGAGCGGCCGAUGGCAGAUUAGGUAGUUGGUGGGGUAAAGGCUCACCAAGCCGACGAUCUAUAGCUGGUCUGAGAGGAUGAUCAGCCACACUGGGACUGAGACACGGCCCAGACUCCUACGGGAGGCAGCAGUGGGGAAUUUUGGACAAUGGGCGCAAGCCUGAUCCAGCCAUUCCGCGUGCAGGACGAAGGCCUUCGGGUUGUAAACUGCUUUUGUACAGAACGAAAAGCUCUGGGUUAAUACCUCGGGGUCAUGACGGUACUGUAAGAAUAAGCACCGGCUAACUACGUGCCAGCAGCCGCGGUAAU
rnacentral:rRNA from 1 species